CCUGGGAACUGCGUUNUGAACUGGGUGACUAGAGUGUGUCAGAGGGAGGUAGAAUUCCACGUGUAGCAGUGAAAUGCGUAGAGAUGUGGAGGAAUACCGAUGGCGAAGGCAGCCUCCUGGGAUAACACUGACGUUCAUGCCCGAAAGCGUGGGUAGCAAACAGGAUUAGAUACCCUGAUAGUCCACGCCCUAAACGAUGUCGAUUAGCUGUUGGGCAGCAUGACUGCUUAGUAGCGAAGCUAACGCGUGAAAUCGACCGCCUGGGGAGUACGGUCGCAGGAUUAAAACUCAAAGGAAUUGACGGGGACCCGCACAAGCGGUGGAUGAUGUGGAUUAAUUCGAUGCAACGCGAAGAACCUUACCUGGUCUUGACAUGUACGGAACCCUCCAGAGACGGAGGGGUGCCUUCGGGAGCCGUAACACAGGUGCUGCAUGGCUGUCGUCAGCUCGUGUCGUGAGAUGUUGGGUUAAGUCCCGCAACGAGCGCAACCCUUGUCAUUAGUUGCCAUCAUUAAGUUGGGCACUCUAAUGAGACUGCCGGUGACAAGCCGGAGGAAGGUGGGGAUGACGUCAAGUCCUCAUGGCCCUUAUGACCAGGGCUUCACACGUCAUACAAUGGUCGGUACAGAGGGUAGCCAAGCCGCGAGGUGGAGCCAAUCUCACAAAACCGAUCGUAGUCCGGAUUGCACUCUGCAACUCGAGUGCAUGAAGUCGGAAUCGCUAGUAAUCGCAGGUCAGCAUACUGCGGUGAAUACGUUCCCGGGUCUUGUACACACCGCCCGUCACACCAUGGGAGUGGGGGAUACCAGAAGUAGGUAGGGUAACCGCAAGGAGCCCGCUUAC
rnacentral:rRNA from 1 species